rnacentral:lncRNA from 1 species
AUGGAUGCAUCAGCCAGUGACCUUGUAAUGAACAGCAAGAGACUUCAGGAGCUGGGGGAGCAGUGCUGUGGGGCACUCGGGGCAGGAGCACCCACAGCAGCACAGUCAGGACCAGUGCCCACCAGCAGCCCGGCACUGGGAGCUCACUGCUCCAGGGACACGGCACAGGCACCUCCGGGCACAGAGCAUGCCGGGUUUCCAUCUCCCUCCACGCUGCCUGCAGGGACGGGAGCACGGGGAGGCUUCGCCCGGCUCCUGGGUGCCACUCGCUGCUGCAGGCAGCCACACUGCUCGGCCCAGGAGCAUCUGUGUGACCAAACAUUCAUCUGCUUGCCCUGCUCUUAA